ensembl:lncRNA
UUAAUCUAUUUUCCUCUUGUACUAUGGGUGUGGCAGACGAACUGUGUGAAGAGCUCUUCCGUUGGAUUGAUCAGCAGAAGCGAUGUGCAGAUCAUCUCAAGGCUUUGGCCACCGAGCUGGAGGACAUGAGGGAGGUGAUGACUGCAGGCCAGUUGGUGGGAAACACAGCAACUGUGCUUGGGUCUGCCGCUCUUGUUGGGACAGGCAUUGCAACAAUUCUGACUGGAGGCCUGGCUGCACCCUCGCUGGCACUGGCAGCUGGAAUCACAGCCGGAGUGGGUACUGCAACUAGUCUUACACUUACGCUUGUGGAGAAAUGGAAAUCCAGUAAAACAAUGGAAAAUGCAGAGAAGACUGCUGACAAAAUCAAACAGAUUCAGAACAAUAUCGAAAGGCUCCAGAAGAAACUCCAGAAGGAGUGUGAGAGUGAAGGGUUUGAAGUGUCAUCCUCCGAUGACGUGCAGUGUGAAAUCACAGCGAGGAUCCUUAGAGCCUUGGCCAAACGCAGUGGUAGAGAUCUGCCCCUCAGUCGCCUAAGACACCUCUUGAGAAGUGAUGGCAUGUAUACACAUAACAGAUAUCCAAAGUUUAUUCUAGACGGUGCAUUCUUCUACACCGUCAGUUCUUUCAUAGCAUACCUUGGAUAUUCUGCCAUCUUUCUGAAAACAGCAGCAACAAAAGGACAAAAAUAUUAUGCUCCAUUUCUUGUGAAAGCUACUAAAGAAAUGGCUGAUCUUUCACUGAAAACUGUGUUAAAGGGAACAGGCCAGGCCGCAGGAGGAAUCUUUGGGCUGAUAUUAACAGUUCCUGAUCUGAUUGAUAACUGUGAAGAACUGAUUAAAAACAAACAUCAGACUGAAGCUAGCACAUAUCUGAAGACAAAAGCUGAUGAAAUCCGUGAAACUGUGAAGAAAUUUAAAAAGCCAUUGAAUGAAUUGCAAGACAUGCUCAAUCAAAUCCCUGAAAUGGAGUGUCACAUUGAUUUGGCUCAGGAGAUGUUUGGAUCUCAAAUAUACACUCGAGGCACCAUCUGUAUGGAAUAUAAACAGAGCCAAAAGCAGGACAGGAAGACACAGGGGUUUAUUCUCCUAUGCACAAAAGACAUAGGAGUAACUAAGAAUUGUUCCACAGGCAAAGACAAAUCAGGUGACAACAAGAACAAAAGACAGAAGAAGAAGACUACUUCAACUGUAGACAGGAGCCUUAACCAGGAGAGGAAACCUGCUUUUCAGAAGGAGCUCCAAGAAAUGAUGGAAGAUGUGGAAAACGUUAAUUCCGAUCUGAUGUUCUUCACAGAGACAUGGUUGAACAGGAACUCGCCCAGCAUUAACUUCGAUAGAUAUAAGUCUUUCCGGGUUGAUCGUGAUGCAUGGCUUACUAAGAAAAGUAAAGGAGGGGGAUUGAUGGUGCUUGUGAACAAGGCUUGGGCGACUGAUGUGGAGGUGGAAAACAUCUUGAUUACUCCAGAUUAUGAGUUAAUGGUUGUGUCCAUUAUACCACAUGACCACCCUGAGGAUGCGCCACCACUUACCUUCAUCCAUGUGUAUAUCCCUCCAAGAACUAAUAUGACUCGAGCUGCCAUUGACAUCGCUGCUGUUUACUAUGAUGUUCUGGAGCAGUAUCCUGGUGGUCCUGUUUUCUUGUUGGGUGAUUUCAACCACUGUGACAUCACUCAUCUCUUAGACCUGGAGCAAUAUGUCACAUGCCCAACCAGAAACAGUAACACCCUGGAUCAAUGCUAUGGGAAUGUGCCAGAGGCUUAUAGAUCUGAAUGCAGACCCCCGCUUGGCCGGUCAGACCACAAUGUCAUUCAUUUGAUUCCUAAAAAGAAGUCAGAUGGAAGUGACCCUUCUAAAGAUGAGAAGUGUAGACAUGACAGUACCAAAUCCAGAAAGCAAUGAGAGGCUGCGCAACAGUUCUCUUUUGUUUUCAUGUAGCACACCAGGGUCCUAGAGGAACAUCGGUUAGUUUCACUGUGUGCUGUGCUAGUAUAUGAUAGCUUGUUUCGUCCGAUAGAUGUAGGUGGUGUCUAACUACUUUCAAUUAACUUACUGAGUAUAAAACCUCAUUGAGAAAGAAGAAGACAGGAUAAUAGUGGGGAAUGGCAUGAAAACUGGCACAACAAUGAGGAACAACAAGAGGGAAAAAAAUUCUCCUUUGAAUGAAGAAAAUUAAAUGCUUGAUAUGCUUAAAAGUCCCCUUAAGUGCUUGGAAACACACAGAGUUAUUCUGUGUGGUGACGUAAUUUCGACUGAAACAGGAAGAGAUGGUGGGACAUAUCGAGCAGCCCGCCCGGGAGGCCAGGAUGUUAGUUGAAGGAAAUGCCUUGUAUACUAAAUCCCCAGGAAGAAUGGUUGAGUGGGUUCACUGUAAACCAUUCACCUUCUUGAACUCUCUCAGUCUACUUUUAUUUGAUAUUGAUAAACACACACCAGUUAGUAUCUAACUUUGAGUGCAAUCCUAAUCAUAAACCAUCAUAGCCUGUAACGUAAAACAUUGAGCAUAUAUAUAUAUAUAUAUAUUUAACAGAGUGUGUGUGUUGGGGUGGGGGGGGGGUGUUUAGGUAACAGUUAACAUUUAUAGUCACUAAACAGUCUCUAAGUAAUCAUUCAUGCUACAGUAUGUAGACUGAUCAUGUUAGGCCACAAGGCAUUCAAAGAGGGUGAGUAUAUACAAUAUACUAUAUAGGACAAGUAUAUACAAUAAAUGUACUCUAAACAUAAGCA